rnacentral:lncRNA from 1 species
GGCCAAUUGUAUACAGAUGUCCUGGAGCUGUCCUCAAGAUUCCAAUGUGGUGAGAACCAAGAGCAACAUGAGAGAGAACACAUACCCACAUCCACACCCACACACACUCCUAAGCUACAAAGCCAAGUGUAAAAUACUGUAAGUCCACAUGAGCUCAACUGAGAAAUUUACUCUAGGAUAACAAUUUAACCAGACACUUAA